rnacentral:tRNA from 1 species
AUUUAUAUAGCUUAUAAAGAGCAUAGUGUUGAAGCUACUAAGGAAAUUAAUAUUUAUAAAUA